CGGACGGGUGAGUAAUGUCUGGGAAACUGCCUGAUGGAGGGGGAUAACUACUGGAAAUGGUAGCUAAUACCGCAUAACGUCGCAAGACCAAAGAGGGGGACCUUCGGGCCUCUUGCCAUCGGAUGUGCCCAGAUGGGAUUAGCUAGUAGGUGGGGUAACGGCUCACCUAGGCGACGAUCCCUAGCUGGUCUGAGAGGAUGACCAGCCACACUGGAACUGAGACACGGUCCAGACUCCUACGGGAGGCAGCAUG
rnacentral:rRNA from 1 species